rnacentral:rRNA from 1 species
UACGUAGGGGGCUAGCGUUGUCCGGAAUCAUUGGGCGUAAAGAGCGUGUAGGCGGCUUGGUAAGUCCGCUGUGAAAGUCCAGGGCUCAACCCUGGAAUGCCAGUGGAUACUGUCAAGCUAGAGUCCGGAAGAGGCGAGUGGAAUUCCUGGUGUAGCGGUGAGAUGCGCAGAUAUCAGGAGGAACACCAAUGGCGAAGGCAGCUCGCUGGGACGGUACUGACGCUGAGACGCGAAAGCGUGGGGAGCAAACAGG